GAUGAACGCUGGCGGCGUGCCUAAUACAUGCAAGUCGAGCGAAUGGAUUGAGAGCUUGCUCUUAUGAAGUUAGCGGCGGACGGGUGAGUAACACGUGGGUAACCUGCCCAUAAGACUGGGAUAACUCCGGGAAACCGGGGCUAAUACCGGAUAACAUUUUGAACCGCAUGGUUCGAAAUUGAAAGGCGGCUUCGGCUGUCACUUAUGGAUGGACCCGCGUCGCAUUAGCUAGUUGGUGAGGUAACGGCUCACCAAGGCAACGAUGCGUAGCCGACCUGAGAGGGUGAUCGGCCACACUGGGACUGAGACACGGCCCAGACUCCUACGGGAGGCAGCAGUAGGGAAUCUUCCGCAGUGGACGAAAGUCUGACGGAGCAACGUCGCGUGAGUGAUGAAGGCUUUCGGGUCGUAAAACUCUGUUGUUAGGGAAGAACAAGUGCUAGUUGAAUAAGCUGGCACCUUGACGGUACCUAACCAGAAAGCCACGGCUAACUACGUGCCAGCCGCCGCAGUAA
rnacentral:rRNA from 1 species